GGCUCUGAACCUCAUUCAAACCGAGUUUUAAACUCCGGUCAGUAGAUGACAUCCAAAUGUGUCAGGUUAAAUUUGCUUAAAAACAUACUAAAGAAAUGUCGAACGUUUCCAUUUGAUGAACUGGAGCAGCAGAAGUGUGAGAUCGCCUCAGUAUCUUAGCCCCGGGAAAGUUAAGGGCGUCUGUGGCGAAGCUCCCAACGAAACAAAAAGCCUUUUAUUACGGGCCGAGAAGGUCAGACGUCAACCCCGCGUUCAAAAACAAACAUUCAGCCACAAACCAGACUCCAUCGGCCGUGGCACAUUGGAAUCCUGCAUUUUCUUUGCUCCAAGAGGGAACACCGGCAUCGGUAAAGCCACGGCGCUGCACCUGGCCAGGAAGGGGGCCAGGGUGAUCCUGGCCUGCCGAAACCGGGACAAAGCCGAGGCCGCCAUCGCGGAUAUACAACAGGAGACAGGAAAUACCGACGUUCUCUACAUGCAUUUGGACCUGGCCAGUCUGAAGUCCGUCCGCUGCUUCGCCGAAGCCUUCCUGAAAACUGAGUCCAGGCUAGAUCUGCUCAUCAACAACGCUGGUCUGGUGGCAGACGGGCAGACGGAGGACGGUUUCGGCAUCCAGUUCGGGGUGAACCACCUGGGUCACUUCCUGUUGACCUGCCUGCUGCUGGAGAGGCUGAAGGAGGCGGGGGGAGGACGGGUGGUCACCCUGUCCUCCAUGGCUCACCGCUGGGGACACGUCGACUUCGAGGCUCUGGCGGUGAACAGACACCUGGGCACCGGCAGGUACAGCUGGCAGUUCUUCCAGGCGUACUGCAACAGUAAGCUGUGCAACGUGCUCUUCACCCACGAGCUCGCCAAGAGGCUGAAAGGAACCACCGUCACCUGCUACAGCCUCCACCCUGGCGUCGUUCGUACAGAGCUGUCCAGACACGUCAGCCCGUGGCAGAAGAUUUUCAUCGAGCCCGUGGCCCGGCUGCUGUUCCUGGACCCGGAGGCCGGAGCUCAGACCACGCUGCACUGCGCCCUGCAGGAGGGAAUCGAGCCUCUGAGCGGACGCUACUUCUCCUGCUGCGCCGUACAGGAAGUGUGCGCCCGGGCCCGAGACCCCGCCGUGGCCCGCAAACUGUGGGAGGUCAGCGAGAGGCUCUGUGGACUCUCUUAAGGUAACCGGCUGCCUGCCAUCUUUGUUUUGGCAAAAGGUGAGACACGACCAUGAAAACAAUUUCACGAAAAAAAAGUCUGACCCUAGACUGUGCUUGGGUUUCUGUUGAGUCUCUGCAGGGCUCUCAGAGUUAAUAUGAAGACCGUUUGAUCAGCUGAGCCUCACAGCUUCAGUGUCUUAUAAAGCGUCAGGUUCACUGACAGAUCAGACGGCAGCUUUGCGUUCAGAUGACAGCCGAACUGUGCUGCUGUAAAAGCUUUUCAGAUCCGAACGAGGCGACGGAGAGACGCCCUCCGCCUCCGCGGCGCAGACUCCACCGGGAAUUCGCGGAGAUCUGUCGCCUUGCUGCCGAAAAUCAAAGCAGUCAAAGCUGAUUGUUCCCACAUCGGCAGGCACCAGACACCUUCACCACCGAGUCAAGACUCGGUUUGGUUUCCACCGUCGGCACGAGGCUGCAUGAAAGCACCAACAGCUGAACACGUUUCAGGAAGACAAACGUCAGUCCAGGUUCUAACCCACUCUCCUGGCCAUGGCCUUAUCAACUCCCAGAGGAGCCACGGGGCAAAAACCUGCACAAUGCGUGUCACCUCCGAUACUUCCCAGGCAGCCAGAAACCAAGCUCCGGUGCUCUGGAGCUAAAGUCAGCAGUUGAUUAGUUGAUUAUCAGAAAAUCUAUUGGCAACAAUUUUUAUAUAACAAUUUUUUGUAGCUUCCAGUUCGGAGCGUCGGUGAUUUGUAACUUCCUAUUCGGAGCGUCGGUGAUUCCUAGCUUCCAGUUCGGAGGUGAUUCCUAGCUUCCAGUUCGGAGGUGAUUCCUAGCUUCCAGUUCGGAGGUGAUUCCUAGCUUCCGGCUCGGAGGGUCGAUGAUUCCUAGCUUCCGGCUCGGAGGGUCGAUGAUACCUAGCUUCCGGCUCGGAGGUGAUUCCUAGCUUCUUGUUUGGAGGAUCGGUGAUUCCAAGCUUCAUGUUUGGAGGGUCGGUGAUUCCUAGCUUCUGGAUCGGAGGGUCGGUGAUUCCUAGCUUCCGGUUCGGAGCCUCUGUGAUUCCUAGCUUCCGGUUCGGAGCCUCUGUGAUUCCUAGCUUCCGGUCCAGAGGUGAUUCCUAGCUUCCUGUUUGGAGGGUCGGUGAUUCCUAGCUUCUGGAUCGGAGGGUCGGUGAUUCCUAGCUUCCGGUUCAGAGCGUCUGCGAUUCCUUGCUUCCUGUUUGGAGGUGAUUCCUAGCUUCCGGUCCGGAGGUGAUUCCUAGCUUCCUGUUCGGAGCGUCUGUGAUUCCUAGCUUCCUGUUUGGAGCGUCUGUGAUUCCUAGCUUCCUGUUUGGAGGGUCGGUGAUUCCUAGCUUCUGGAUCGGAGGGUCGGUGAUUCCUAGCUUCCGGUUCAGAGCGUCUGCGAUUCCUUGCUUCCUGUUUGGAGCGUCUGUGAUUCCUUGCUUCCUGUUUGGAGCGUCUGUGAUUCCUUGCUUCCUGUUUGGAGCGUCUGUGAUUCCUAGCUUCCGGUUCGGAGCGUCGGUGAUUCAGUUUUCUGAGGCGGACUGAAUUCAAAGAGGAGCAGCAGUCAGCAGACAUCACAGAGGCCUCUUCUCUGAUCGCCAACAUUUAUGGGCAUAGAUGUUUUUAUGUUUCAUCACACUAGAAUCUGAACAUUAAAGAGCUACCAAACGGUCA